CUAAAGGACCUUCCCCCCAAAACAGAGACAUGCUUCUCCAAUAACAAACCCACGAUCGCCAGAGACCAGAAGGAAAAAGAGCCUUCAGGGAGUAAUUCAGAGCACAAAACAACGCAAGUCAAGAAUAAACACGAUAAGGAGACGAACAGGAAGAAGGCGGAGAGCUAGCUUCAGAAGAACAUAAAAGAUGUGUGUUCAGCCAGUAUUCUGGCUCGCUGACGUGUGUCUUGGCUCUUCCCUGCAUUCCUUGAAUGCUUGUUGGAAACAUCCCACCAACAGUCACCUGAUGUUGGUGGUCUAAUGGUCUGGAUGACCCUGCGGAAACGCCGCCACCCUGGAUCUUUCCCAUCUGCCGCAUGCUGGAUGCAGAGAAUAAUCUGCUGAUGUCCUUGAACAGAAACGACAUCACCAUAACCGUGACUGUGGGCAACGAUGUGAUUAAAAUAUGUGAGCUCUGGCAGAGAUUUAUGAGAGAAAGGGCAACGGGGAAAAUUCACAAAUUUUAAACAAAGAAGCAAAACCACAAGAUGGUUUUGACCUGCAGAUGCACUUUGUAAAUAUUUUUACAUAUGGACUUACACUUCAGGUGCAUUUGUGUGCUUUUGAUCAGAGAUAUAUGCAUAACGUAGUAAAUUCUGCUAAUAAAACAUGUUUUAAGUCAUUUAAAGAAGGAAAUGUAAAGUUAGUGCCUCAGUGCAAUCAGCUCGGUUUGCAGUGCUGCUGCUGGCUGCACUGAUGCCCUUCAGCUAGAAGGUCCAGGGUUUGAAUCCCAGCUGGGGUUUUUCUGCAUGUUCUCCUUGUGCAUGUUUGGGUUAUACUCCGGCUUCCUCAUUAGUCUUCAUUGUCCAUCAUGAUUAUCCGUCCAUCUGUUACAUACUGACUGCUCAUACCCUCUCAGCAGUACUAAACAAGGCAUAUCCUUGUUAAAAAAUAAUUUGCUUAAAUUAUUUUUAAGCAAAUUGUGCUUAAAAUAAUUUGUUUAAACAAUUUUAUGAUUAAUAGCAGCUUAUUAGCAAAUAGCAGAAGCCGUUUGAUUUAUGGUAUUUCAUAGCAGCUUAUCUACACAACUAUGAACUAGAGGUUUGUUUAUCUUUUUGAUAUUGCAAUAAUACGUUGCUGUGCUUGACAUGAGAUAACUAGUGAAAUAUAACAUUACAUGCAUACAGAAAUAAA